rnacentral:rRNA from 1 species
UACGUAGGGGGCAAGCGUUGUCCGGAAUUACUGGGCGUAAAGCGUGCGUAGGUGGUUCUUUAAGUCAGGUGUGAAAUCCCUGGGCUCAACCUGGGAACUGCAUUUGAUACUGGAGAGCUAGAGUGUGGUAGAGGGUGGUGGAAUUCCCGGUGUAGCGGUGAAAUGCGUAGAUAUCGGGAGGAACAUCAGUGGCGAAGGCGGCCACCUGGACCAACACUGACACUGAGGCACAAAAGCGUGGGUAGCAAACAGG